rnacentral:rRNA from 11 species
UGGCGAUGCGGGAUGAACCGGAAGCCGGGUUACGGUGCCCAACUGCGCGCUAACCUAGAACCCACAAAGGGUGUUGGUCGAUUAAGACAGCAGGACGGUGGUCAUGGAAGUCGAAAUCCGCUAAGGAGUGUGUAACAACUCACCUGCCGAAUGAACUAGCCCCGAAAAUGGAUGGCGCUGAAGCGCGCGACCUAUACCCGGCCGUCGGGGCAAGUGCCAGGCCCCGAUGAGUAGGAGGGCGCGGCGGUCGCCGCAAAACCUUGGGCGCGAGCCCGGGCGGAGCGGCCGUCGGUGCAGAUCUUGGUGGUAGUAGCAAAUACUCAAAUGAGAACUUUGAGGACUGAAGUGGGGAAAGGUUCCGUGUGAACAGCAGUUGGACACGGGUUAGUCGAUCCUAAGCCAUAGGGAAACUCCGUUUUAAAGUGCGCUCUCGGGCGCCGCCUGGCGAAAGGGAAACCGGUUAAUAUUCCGGUACCUCGAUGUGGAUUAUCCGCGGCAACGCAACUGAAGGUGGAGACGUCGGCGGGGGCCCCGGGAAGAGUUCUCUUUUCUUCUUAACAGUC